AGACCCGGAGGCGGGGCCGUCACGUGGGGCAGCGUGGGCCGCUGCCUUGGAAACGCAGAGCGCGCGCUCCAGGUAAAGGCUGCUACGCCCAGGACAGGGUUCUCACGGUGGAGGAAAGGACUUCUGCGGGAUACCACGCUGUGCGCCAAAAAGCCGGGCGGCUUCGGAGCCAGAGCAGCGGCUCUGCGGCGCAGGCGGCGGGUCGGGGCAGCCUUGAAGCCGGGAUCCGGCCCGAAGGGGUCUUUUUGGAGUUCCUGAGCUCAGUGCCCCAGAAGGCACAUACUUCAUAUGAAAUAUGAAGGAUUUCAUACUGCACAAGAAAAAGCCUUGAGAAAGACAGAAUUGCUUGUGGACCGUGCGUGUUCCACCCCACCUGGGCCCCAGACCGUGCUGAUCCUUGAUGAGCUCUCGGAUUCCUUGUGCAGAGUGACCGACUUGUUUCGAAAUGACCAGGCUGGCAGUUGGCUGAGCCAGUCUCUUAGAACCCUUUGAAGCACUGGAUGCAGGCUGAUGAGCUGCCAUAAACGUCUUUGAGUCCCAACACUGCUCAGGAACUGCAUAUCAUACCAAAGUCUGCCUGUGUGAUCCUUUAAUUUGUGAAUGUAAAAACUGAGGUGGGAGGCAAAUACUGAUGUUCUCAAAGACCCGUCUCAGCUAUUCCAUUCAAACAGAGCCCAGAAUCUUCAAAAUUCUGCUUCUUCAGCUUACCUCCUGUCUCAGGCUGGUUCCCCAGAAGCAUCCCAGAGAUGCAGAUUUGUGAGAAAGUGAUGUGUUGGGCAGUGUCCCCUGCAGGGAAGUGAGGAUGCAAGACAGUGAGAAGGAAGCCAAGCAAGAGUGCAAUGUCAAGCAAGGUCCCGUGCUUGCAGGGCACUGGCUCCUCCCACAGAGGAGAUUUGGAGACUGAGAGCCCCUCCCUCCAUUGGUCAAGGGCCAUCUCAGAGGGAUGCAUGUUUCUAGGUAUCCCCCACUCUCUCUGCACACAGGUAAAGGAGACUCCAGAAGCAUGAGGGCAGCCCUCUCACAAAGAAGCAUGGGUUCUGGAUACCGAGAGUAAAAGCAAACGUGGAGCCAAGGGGUGUGAAAAUGGGAAAGGGACCCAAGGAAAUAGAGUAGUGCAUCCACCAUGAGUAAGUGCCACAGUCACUGGGUCAGCACCUGCUGUGUCCAACACCAUGCUAAGUAUCGUGGAGAGGAGAGAAGUUACUAGACUUCCCUGCUGUCAUCCUUAAUGGACUAUUGUCUCUUCCCUAGACACCUCAAACUGGGAUUUAAGGUACAUAAGCUCUCAGAAAUGGCUUCCUGGAAUUAUGGCCAUGAACAUCAGUGAACUGUUAGGGUCCGUAGUUACAUCUGGAAAAUGACUGCCGUUUCAAUACACAGGAUUAGUUACAAUAACAGCAACAGCCAUAAUAAUAAUGUGGCAGAGACUAGCUUGAUGCUCAUCACAUCUCUACCUGGGCACAUAGCAAAGUUUUCUAUUCCAGCUCCCACCCUGGAUCUCGGGUCCUAGUUCUCAACAACGAAAUGCUUCCAAGCCAAGUUAAAGCAGCCACAACUUUCAAACGAAAACCUAAAGAUCCUGUGUUGAAGACAGUGGCACCUUAAAAUGCAAGGGCAGUAUCCUUGAGUCCUCAGGUCACCAGAAAGCCACCCGAUCAGGACCAUCGACACUAGACUCUGUGUUAGUGAGAAACAAACUUGUGUUAAGCCAUCAUGAUUUUAAAGUUGUUAGCAGUCAGCUUGCUCCAAUAGGAUGAACACUAAUAAACAUAGCGGUAACAACCUGC